AAAUUGAAGAGUUUGAUCAUGGCUCAGAUUGAACGCUGGCGGCAGGCCUAACACAUGCAAGUCGAACGGUAACAGGAAGCAGCUUGCUGCUUUGCUGACGAGUGGCGGACGGGUGAGUAAUGUCUGGGAAACUGCCUGAUGGAGGGGGAUAACUACUGGAAACGGUGGCUAAUACCGCAUAACGUCGCAAGACCAAAGAGGUAACCUUCGGGCCUCUUGCCAUCAGAUGUGCCCAGAUGGGAUUAGCUUGUUGGUGAGGUAACGGCUCACCAAGGCGACGAUCCCUAGCUGGUCUGAGAGGAUGACCAGCCACACUGGAACUGAGACACGGUCCAGACUCCUACGGGAGGCAGCAGUGGGGAAUAUUGCACAAUGGGCGCAAGCCUGAUGCAGCCAUGCCGCGUGUAUGAAGAAGGCCUUCGGGUUGUAAAGUACUUUCAGCGGGGAGGAAGGUGUUGUGGUUAAUAACCGCAGCAAUUGACGUUACCCGCAGAAGAAGCACCGGCUAACUCCGUGCCAGCAGCCGCGGUAAUACGGAGGGUGCAAGCGUUAAUCGGAAUUACUGGGCGUAAAGCGCACGCAGGCGGUCUGUCAAGUCGGAUGUGAAAUCCCCGGGCUCAACCUGGGAACUGCAUUCGAAACUGGCAGGCUUGAGUCUUGUAGAGGGGGUAGAAUUCCGGUGUAGCGGUGAAAUGCGUAGAGAUCUGGAGGAAUACCGGUGGCGAAGGCGGCCCCCUGGACAAAGACUGACGCUCAGGUGCGAAAGCGUGGGGAGCAAACAGGAUUAGAUACCCUGGUAGUCCACGCCGUAAACGAUGUCUACUUGGAGGUUGUGCCCUUGAGGCGUGGCUUCCGGAGCUAACGCGUUAAGUAGACCGCCCCGGGGAGUACGGCCGCAAGGUUAAAACUCAAAUGAAUUGACGGGGGCCCGCACAAGCGGUGGAGCAUGUGGUUUAAUUCGAUGCAACGCGAAGAACCUUACCUGGUCUUGACAUCCACAGAAGAAUCCAGAGAUGGAUUUGUGCCUUCGGGAACUGUGAGACAGGUGCUGCAUGGCUGUCGUCAGCUCGUGUUGUGAAAUGUUGGGUUAAGUCCCGCAACGAGCGCAACCCUUAUCCUUUGUUGCCAGCGGUCCGGCCGGGAACUCAAAGGAGACUGCCAGUGAUAAACUGGAGGAAGGUGGGGAUGACGUCAAGUCAUCAUGGCCCUUACGACCAGGGCUACACACGUGCUACAAUGGCGCAUACAAAGAGAAGCGACCUCGCGAGAGCAAGCACCUCAUAAAGUGCGUCGUAGUCCGGAUUGAGUCUGCAACUCGACUCCAUGAAGUCGGAAUCGCUAGUAAUCGUGGAUCAGAAUGCCACGGUGAAUACGUUCCCGGGCCUUGUACACACCGCCCGUCACACCAUGGGAGUGGGUUGCAAAAGAAGUAGGUAGCUUAACCUUCGGGAGGGCGCUUACCACUUUGUGAUUCAUGACUGGGGUGAAGUCGUAACAAGGUAACCGUAGGGGAACCUGCGGUUGGAUCACCUCCCUU
rnacentral:rRNA from 1 species